rnacentral:rRNA from 1 species
GGGUAAUCUGCCCUGCACUCUGGGAUAAGCCUUGGAAACGAGGUCUAAUACCGGAUAUGACACACGACCGCAUGGUCUGUGUGUGGAAAGUUCCGGCGGUGCAGGAUGAGCCCGCGGCCUAUCAGCUUGUUGGUGGGGUAGUGGCCUACCAAGGCGACGACGGGUAGCCGGCCUGAGAGGGUGACCGGCCACACUGGGACUGAGACACGGCCCAGACUCCUACGGGAGGCAGCAGUGGGGAAUCUUGCGCAAUGGGCGAAAGCCUGACGCAGCAACGCCGCGUGGGGGAUGACGGCCUUCGGGUUGUAAACCUCUUUCGACAGGGACGAAGCUUUCGGGUGACGGUACCUGUAGAAGAAGCACCGGCUAACUACGUGCCAGCAGCCGCGGUAAUACGUAGGGUGCGAGCGUUGUCCGGAUUUAUUGGGCGUAAAGAGCUCGUAGGCGGUUUGUCGCGUCGGCCGUGAAAACCUGCAGCUUAACUGUGGGCGUGCGGUCGAUACGGGCAGACUUGAGUUCGGCAGGGGAGACUGGAAUUCCUGGUGUAGCGGUGAAAUGCGCAGAUAUCAGGAGGAACACCGGUGGCGAAGGCGGGUCUCUGGGCCGAUACUGACGCUGAGGAGCGAAAGCAUGGGGAGCGAACAGGAUUAGAUACCCUGGUAGUCCAUGCCGUAAACGUUGGGCGCUAGGUGUGGGGAUGGGUUCCACCGUUU